UCAGUCCCACUCAGGACACAGCAUGGACAUGAGGGUCCCUGCUCAGCUCCUGGGGCUCCUGCUGCUCUGGUUCCCAGGUGCCAGAUGUAACAUCCAGAUGACCCAGUCUCCAUCUGCCAUGUCUGCAUCUGUAGGAGACAGAGUCACCAUCACUUGUCGGGCGAGGCAGGGCAUUAGCAAUUAUUUAGCCUGGUUUCAGCAGAAACCAGGGAAACCCCUAAGUCCCUGAUCUAUGCUGCAUCCAGUUUGCAAAGUGGGGUCCCAUCAAGGUUCAGCGGCAGUGGAUCUGGGACAGAUUUCACUCUCACCAUCAGCAGCCUGCAGCCUGAAGAUUUUGCAACUUAUUACUGCCAACAGUAUAAUAGUUACCCUCCCAC
rnacentral:lncRNA from 1 species